CCUACGGGAGGCAGCAGUGGGGAAUAUUGGUCAAUGGGCGAAAGCCUGAACCAGCGACGCCGCGUGGAGGAUGAAGGCCGAAAGGUCUUAAACUCCUUUUGUAAGGGAAAAAGGAAUGAGGUGUGAAUA
rnacentral:rRNA from 1 species